rnacentral:lncRNA from 1 species
GGAAACACUACAAGGAUUUGAUCCUUUUAGCACCACUUUUUUUCACAACACCACAUAUUUGGUUGCAAUAUUUAGUUCUAUGGCAACCAACGGCGUAAUUGGUAGUGAUAUAUGGGCCUUAUGACCACAAAAAUUGUGCGUUGCAUUAGUCAUAAGCUCUAUCGCAAUAUGGAGACGCUGAUGCUACGGUGGAAAAGGUGGUUGCGAGUAUGGGUUCCUAUUGCCACGACUAGUGUUGAGUUGUGAUAAUAUAGAUUUUGUGUUGC